UAAGGAAUAUUGGUCAAUGGGCGAGAGCCUGAACCAGCCAUGCCGCGUGCAGGAAGACGGCCUUAUGGGUUGUAAACUGCUUUUAUCGGGGAAUAAACCUAUCUAAGUGUAGAUAGCUGAAGGUACCCGAAGAAUAAGCAUCGGCUAACUCCGUGCCAGCAGCCGCGGUAAUACGGAGGAUGCAAGCGUUAUCCGGAGUCAUUGGGUUUAAAGGGUGCGCAGGCGGAUUGGUAAGUCAAUUGUUAAAUUCAACGGCUCAACUGUUGUUCCUCCCUUGAUACUGUCAGUCUAGAGUAUAGUUGGGGUGGGCGGAAUUUGUCAUGUAGCGGUGAAAUGCUUAGAUAUGACACAGAACACCGAUCGCGAAGGCAGCUCACUGAGCUAAAACUGACGCUCAUGCACGAAAGCGUGGGGAUCAAACA
rnacentral:rRNA from 1 species